GAUGAAAAGUAAAGAAAUGGACCCUGUAGGAUUAUGUGCUUUUAUACAUUGAGGUUUGACCACUUCAUAAAUCUAAGGGUUCACUUCUUUUUUUCCACCAGCACUAAGAAUGCUUAGAAUGAAAUAGUUCACAGCAACAUGAAUUGAAAUGAGCUCUUCUUGCUCCUGAAUCAGUUUUAAAAACUAAAAAGAGAUGGUAUGCCACUAUAUUUCAGAUGAAUCCAUGGAUGUCACAUAUUCUUUGAUUGAGCUUAAAAACAUCACUAAGGAGGGACAAUCAGCUCCUGCAGCAGAUGAAGAAACAUUUUAUUCUGAAAUCAAACCAGGAACAUCUCAUGGUCAAUAGAGAUCUGUAUCAACAAAACCCUCUGAAUAGAUCAUAAAAGUGAAGCUACUCACAUGAAUAGCAGAUAUUUAAAGACAUAAACCAGCUGAAUGUGCUGCUUUUAGUGCAGAUGUAUUUUAUAAAAAGCUUUAGUUUGUAUGAAUGUAAUGAUUGUGUGGCUUUAAUAUCAGCAUCUUUUUCAGUUCUUCAUGUUCUGUCAUCAAACAUCAUUCUGUUACAUGUCCACUUAAAGAAGCUAACUAUGUUGAGAAGAACUGAUAGUAUAACAAGUAUUUCAUGUUUCCCUGAACUGAUUAAGUAUAUUGUAAAAAGCUUGGACUUUUCUAACUAUGUUAUGCAUCAAUAAACUUUUUAAUUUUUAA